UACAGGCUUAACACAUGCAAGUCGAGGGGAAACGAUAUUGGAAGCUUGCUUCCGAUAGGCGUCGACCGGCGCACGGGUGAGUAACGCGUAUCCAACCUGCCCAUCACUUGGGGAUAACCUUGCGAAAGUAAGACUAAUACCCAAUGACGUCUCUAGAAGACAUCUGAAAGAGAUUAAAGAUUCAUCGGUGAUGGAUGGGGAUGCGUCUGAUUAGCUUGUUGGCGGGGUAACGGCCCACCAAGGCAACGAUCAGUAGGGGUUCUGAGAGGAAGGUCCCCCACAUUGGAACUGAGACACGGUCCAAACUCCUACGGGAGGCAGCAGUGAGGAAUAUUGGUCAAUGGACGAGAGUCUGAACCAGCCAAGUAGCGUGCAGGAAGACGGCCCUAUGGGUUGUAAACUGCUUUUAUAAGGGAAUAAAGUUAGUCUCGUGAGACUUUUUGCAUGUACCUUAUGAAUAAGGACCGGCUAAUUCCGUGCCAGCAGCCGCGGUAAUACGGAAGGUCCGGGCGUUAUCCGGAUUUAUUGGGUUUAAAGGGAGCGUAGGCCGGAGAUUAAGCGUGUUGUGAAAUGUAGACGCUCAACGUCUGCACUGCAGCGCGAACUGGUUUCCUUGAGUACGCACAAAGUGGGCGGAAUUCGUGGUGUAGCGGUGAAAUGCUUAGAUAUCACGAAGAACUCCGAUUGCGAAGGCAGCUCACUGGAGCGCAACUGACGCUGAAGCUCGAAAGUGCGGGUAUCGAACAGGAUUAGAUACCCUGGUAGUCCGCACGGUAAACGAUGGAUGCCCGCUGUUGGUCUGAAUAGGUCAGCGGCCAAGCGAAAGCAUUAAGCAUCCCACCUGGGGAGUACGCCGGCAACGGUGAAACUCAAAGGAAUUGACGGGGGCCCGCACAAGCGGAGGAACAUGUGGUUUAAUUCGAUGAUACGCGAGGAACCUUACCCGGGCUUGAAUUGCAGAGGAAGGAUUUGGAGACAAUGACGCCCUUCGGGGCCUCUGUGAAGGUGCUGCAUGGUUGUCGUCAGCUCGUGCCGUGAGGUGUCGGCUUAAGUGCCAUAACGAGCGCAACCCCUCUCCUUAGUUGCCAUCAGGUCAAGCUGGGCACUCUGGGGACACUGCCACCGUAAGGUGUGAGGAAGGUGGGGAUGA
rnacentral:rRNA from 1 species